rnacentral:rRNA from 1 species
AGAGUUUGAUCCUGGCUCAGGACGAACGCUGGCGGCGUGCUUAACACAUGCAAGUCGACGGAAAGGCCCUGCUUUUGUGGGGUGCUCGAGUGGGCGAACGGGUGAGUAACACGUGAGUAACCUGCCCUUGACUUUGGGAUAACUUCAGGAAACUGGGGCUAAUACCGGAUAGGAGCUCCUGCUGCAUGGUGGGGGUUGGAAAGUUUCGGCGGUUGGGGAUGGACUCGCGGCUUAUCAGCUUGUUGGUGGGGGUAGUGGCUUACCAAGGCUUUGACGGGUAGCCGGCCUGAGAGGGUGACCGGCCACAUUGGGACUGAGAUACGGCCCAGGCUCCUACGGGAGGCAGCAGUGGGGAAUAUUGCACAAUGGGCGGAAGCCUGAUGCAGCAACGCCGCGUGCGGGAUGACGGCCUUCGGGUUGUAAACCGCUUUCGCCUGUGACGAAGCGUGAGUGACGGUAAUGGGUAAAGAAGCACCGGCUAACUACGUG